UCCAGUUGUAGGUCCCUCCAGUUGUGCCAUGCAGGAUGCCGCUUCAGCAUGGCCCAACAAGUGGUGCCAUGUCCAUGCCCAGGAUCCAAACUUGCAAAACCCCCGGCCACUGAAGCAGAGCACACGAACUCAACCACUCAGCCGUGGGACCGCUCCCCUGGAUAGAGUAUUUUUGACUGUCUUAGGGUUUCUCCUCUUCAUGUGGUCUUUCUACGUGGAUGUUUGGACUUCCUCACAGCAUGGCAGCUAAGUUCCAAGAAGGAGAGUUUCAAGAAGAAUUCAAUGGAAGCUACCACUCCUCCUAAAGGCUAAGCCCAGAAUUGGCGCAGCAUCAUUUCCAUUUCAUUCUAUUAGUUAACAGAGUCACAGCCAGUCCACAUUCAGUGAGGGAAAGGACUGCACAAGGACAUGAGUACUGGGAAGUGAAGUUCAUUGACAGCCAUCCUUGGAGACCAGCUGUGUCACCUUCUCAUCUUGCGUCAUCAUUAUGUGUGUUUACUUUUGUUAGAAAACUGAAUAAAAAUGCUAUAAAGCAUGCUGGUACAAGGUCUGAUGCAAUCACAGAAGAAGGAAUGACCAACACUUUGUGGUGGGGGAAAGAAGAACUUUGAAGGAAAGGAGUCUUCAAAGCUAAAUCUUGAAUGCACGGUCUCAGGUAGGGCAGGGCAGGCAGGGCAAGUUAGGCCGAGGAAAUAGCACGCGUGAGGCUGCUCAGGCAGGAAGAAGCCAGGAGUGUUUGGGGAACACACUGCUUCAAGGAGCAUAUGAGAGGGUGGAGGAGGUGGCAGAAAAAGCUGGAGAAGAAAGCUGCAGUUGGAUCGAGAAAGCGUAGGUUCUACCUGCAAAUGAGUUAGCCAAACUCGACAUUAAGGGCACAGUCCUCCAGACCGCCGAGUCUGCCCAAGACUCACCAGCUGCAAGGAGUUUGCUGAAGUCAAAGUCAGAGGAAACAGUCCCCACAAGACCGCCCUCGGUUCAGACACCACCCUCACUUCAGACUAGCUGGCCAAAAAUGCUAGACUGCUCACAAUCACCCUCAGGUUUGAUAAUUCACUAGAAUGACUCACAGAACUAAGGAAAAUGCUGUGCGUAUUAUUACAGUUUUAUUAUGGUGAAAGGAUACAAAUUAGAACCAGCCAAAGGAAGAGGCUCAUAGAGCAGAAUCUGAGAGGGGUCCAAACGUGAAGCUUCUGUAACUUCAGGAACGUGGUCCCUCCUGGCAUCAAUGUGUGGUGGUACACACGGAGUGCUGCUAACUCAGGAAGCUCACCUGAGCCUUUGGUGUCCAGAGCUUUCCUGGGGCUUGAUCACUUACUAUUUGUGUGGCUGACCUUUAGUAUCUAGCUCCUCUGGAGGUGGGAACUGAUAUGACAUGUCCCAAAGCCCCUCAUCAUCCAUCUCAUUGUUAGACUGUCUGAUGGGCAAAGCCCCAGGCAAACAAAGACACUCCCGUCAGUCAGCACUUCCCAGGAAGCACCUCCUGGCAGCCGAGGGCAGAGGCCAGACCCCUCCUUGGGGAAAGUGCGUUCCUUAGCACACACCCGCCCUGUAUUUUGGAAUACACAUUAGGAGUACAGGCUGUAGAGUUUGCUCAGGUUUGCCCGCCCCUUUUAGUGGCCACGACACUAUCUAUAAAUAACCUGGUUCUCCUCUCCUCCUGGGUACAUGGUGGGAUUGUGCUCCCUUGCUCUCUUUGAAGAUAGCUAUGGGCUAUGACUUGCCUCAGUUGAAAAAAUGCAAGUGAAAGUGAAGAGCAGGCGGAAGCUUUGGAAGUCAACGUGGGGCUCACCACACAGCCUUCCUCUCCUUAG
rnacentral:lncRNA from 1 species